AGAGCUGGCAAAACUCCACCAUCAUUUGGAGACCAACGUGGUGGAUCGCAGCCAACUCGAACAGUGCAAAAGAGAGGUGGAAGAACAAGCAGACCAGGAAAUAAGACAAAAACUCCAGGAAGUCAAUGAGUUUUUGCAAGCACAGGCAGCCCACCAGGACACCUUAGAAGAAAUCAGAGCCAGUCAUGUGGACUCACUGAAAAAGCAAUUAGAAGACAGAAUUAGAGAUCUGGAACGUGCACUGGGAAGGACAAAAAGCAACCAAGCAGAAAGACCUUUUCAAAAAGAAUCCACCCAGGCAGAAGUGGACAAGUACAAAGAGCUGUAUCUGGUGGAAGCCAAAACCAGAAAAAGCCUCGCCAAGAAACUGGAAAGAGCUACUGAGAGACUUGCAGUGGCCAACACCAAGCUCUUUUUGGAGCGCCACAGAAGCAGAUCUGCAGUCCCAAGCAGCGCUGUCAGCGGAGUUCUGGCUGCAAGUCCACUUCUGGAUUCACCUGGCCUGGGACAUGUUGGCAUCAGUUUGGGACUGAGCAGAAGUCUGGCUCUCAGAACACCACCCAGACACCUGUGGUAAAGCCCAAGACUUCUGCUCAUCAGGUUGGUACAGAUUUUCCAGAGUGGUCAAAGGCCAAAAAGAUUGAAAUGGAAGCAAUGAGCUGUGGAACUCCAUUCUUUUCCAAGAGAAACUGUGGGCAAGAGCUCUGUGGCACAGGAACCUCCCACCUAAGUU